rnacentral:tRNA from 1 species
UGGCUCAGUGGUAGAGUACUUGCCUUGCAUGCAUGAGGCCUUGGGUUCAAUUCCUCA